rnacentral:lncRNA from 15 species
UAACGAACCGUAAACAUGUAGCAAACCUGCAGUAGAAAUAAAGACUGAUGGAGAAGGGAGGGGAGUAGAGCUGUGUGUUGUGUUUAGAGGAGGCACUCCAUCAUUUAAAGAAGACAGAAGUUCCUGGUUUACCAGUGAGGAAGGAAGAGAGGCAGCAGUAAACCAUCAGAGCGUCAACAUGAAAGUCCAUCACACCUUGAUCUGUUUCUUCUUCCUCUCUCUGCAGGAUGGAAACACUCUGGUCAAUACCCAAAACAUUGUCUAUACAGGAACUGGAGGAGGAGCUGUCAAAGUUAAAUGCUUUUCUUAUUAUGGAGGCAGGAAGUUCUUCUGCAAGGAAGGAUGUAAUCAAGAGGACAUUCUCAUUCAAACUACUGGUGUUACAGCUCACAAUGGCAGAUACAGCAUGACAUAUGACGGAACUUUUACAGGAGGAAAUGUUUUUGUGACCAUCACACAGCUGACCAAGUCAGACUCUGGACUGUACUGGUGUGGUUCUGGAGCUCAAUACCAGCUGAUUGAAAUCAUCAUUGUAGAUGUACUGCUGGAUGGAAAUCCUCCUGUAAGAACCCUCUAUCCAAGACCUGGAGGAAGUAUCACAGUUGCUUGUUUCUUUACUGUCUCUGAAAGCAGGAAGUACUUCUGUAAGGACGACUGUAAAGAAGAAGAUAUUCUUGUUGAAACAACUGGUUUCACAGGUCAGAAAGGCAGAUACAAAAUUAGAUAUAUAAAAGGAUUUUCUACAGGAGGAUUUGUGUAUGUGAGCAUCACACAGCUGACCCAGUCUGACUCAGGACAGUACAGGUGUGGUCUGGACAGACCUUUCUUACCAGACCCUUACCAGGAGUUUAGGAUCAUUGUCACAGAUGGUGAGUUUCCAUUUAAAGUGGAUUGAAAAUGAAUGAAAAUGUCUGUUUGUGUCUCUGGAGGUCUGAAGAAAGUUUUCACUGACAGCUGCUGAUGUUUUAAAUUCAAUAAAUUGAACACUGAUAAAUGCUCAUUUAAAACCAACAGACACACAGGAGUAUCUCAUUUCUCUCAGCAGGAUUUCUUUCUAUCAGUAU